rnacentral:sRNA from 1 species
UUGUGCUGUUAUUAAGACUAUGAUUAUCUAAAAUUUCAAAUACGGUUGAUAUAACUGAAGCACAACCAAAAUAUGGUAUUUUUGGAUGGAAUCUUUCGUGUCAGCCUAUAGGCUUUCCAAUUCUUCAAAUUUCUUCUUUGGUUAAAUGUGAAAGAUUAAUGAGAGGGGAAAUUAAUUGUAGGUUACCAAACUAAAUAUUCCAUAUCAAAUAUGGCUUCUUUUUUUUCUUGUUUCUUACUUAUCCUUAAUCAUUUUCUCUUUAUUUGUGACA